UCUGACACAAUGAUGAUCCCAUAGUUCAACAGAUUAACAAUGACGAAGUAGCGUUUGUCUUUCGCUCCUAACUGACAUGUCAGC